rnacentral:rRNA from 1 species
CUUCUCUGAUGUUAGCGGCGGACGGGUGAGUAACACGUGGAUAACCUACCUAUAAGACUGGGAUAAGCUUGGGAAACUGGGUCUAAUACCGGAUAGGAACCGUCUUUAGUGUGGUGGUUGGAAAGUUUUUUCGGUGCAAGAUGAGCUCGCGGCCUAUCAGCUUGUUGGUGGGGUAAUGGCCUACCAAGGCGACGACGGGUAGCCGGCCUGAGAGGGUGGACGGCCACAUUGGGACUGAGACACGGCCCAG